rnacentral:rRNA from 1 species
UACGAAGGGGGCUAGCGUUGCUCGGAAUCACUGGGCGUAAAGGGUGCGUAGGCGGGUCUUUAAGUCAGGGGUGAAAUCCUGGAGCUCAACUCCAGAACUGCCUUUGAUACUGGGUAUCUCGAGUCCGAGAGAGGUGAGUGGAAUUCCGAGUGUAGAGGUGAAAUUCGUAGAUAUUCGGAGGAACACCAGUGGCGAAGGCGGCUCUCUGGGACGGUACUGACGCUGAGACGCGAAAGCGUGGGGAGCGAACAGG